rnacentral:rRNA from 1 species
CUUGAACGCUGGCGGCAGGCCUAACACAUGCAAGUCGAACGAGUGGCGGACGGGUGAGUAAUGUCUGUGACACUGCCUGCUGGAUGGGGAUAACUACUGGAAACGGUAGCUAAUCCCGCCUACCAUCGGAUGUUGCCAGAUGGGAUUAUCUCGUAGGUGGGGUAACGGCUCACCUAGGCGACGAUCCCUAGCUGGUCUGAGAGGAUGACAAGCCACACUGGAACUGGGACACGGUCCAGACGCCUACGGGAGGCAGCAGUGGGGAAUAUUGCACAAUGGGAGCAAGCCUGAUGCAGCCAUGACGCGUGUAGGAAGAAGGGCUUCGGGUUGUAAAGUACUUUCAGCGGGGAGGCGUUACCCGCAGAAGAAGCACCGGCUAACUCCGUGCCAGCAGCCGCGGUAAUUC